UCCUACGGGAGGCAGCAGUGGGGAAUUUUGGACAAUGGGGGAAACCCUGAUCCAGCCAUCCCGCGUGUGCGAUGAAGGCCUUCGGGUUGUAAAGCACUUUUGGCAGGAAAGAAACGUCGCGGGUUAAUACCCCGCGAAACUGACGGUACCUGCAGAAUAAGCACCGGCUAACUACGUGCCAGCAGCCGCGGUAAUACGUAGGGUGCAAGCGUUAAUCGGAAUUACUGGGCGUAAAGCGUGCGCAGGCGGUUCGGAAAGAAAGAUGUGAAAUCCCAGAGCUUAACUUUGGAACUGCAUUUUUAACUACCGGGCUAGAGUGUGUCAGAGGGAGGUGGAAUUCCGCGUGUAGCAGUGAAAUGCGUAGAUAUGCGGAGGAACACCGAUGGCGAAGGCAGCCUCCUGGGAUA
rnacentral:rRNA from 1 species